rnacentral:lncRNA from 1 species
UGUUUGUGACCUACAUUGCACAGUCUCCUUAGAGUUUUCCAGAAGCGAGUCCUGAGAGGAGGUACAUGCAAUGACCAGUCAUAGCCAUUAGGGGGAAGCAUUUGCUCGUGAAACCAACGACGACGUGACCGACCAGUAACAGACUCAGAUUCCUAUUACCAUGCCCUUGAACUAUCCCAAGAAGCGGGGAUUGAAAUUUUUGAAUGAAUUAUAAACUAAGAGACACUACUGCUGACUCCCCAGGCUAGGAUUCUAGUUUAGUCGCAGGAUGUCCACAACAGACGACCCUCGCCUUCUAUUUGCCCGAGGCUAGAAAUCAAAAUUUGGCUCUACAGACCCAUGAUAUUCCCUCUCUGAUCUACUUCUCUGGACAUCUGGGUUUCCUGUGGAUUGUGUUCAAUCAGCAAUGUUGAGGACACAGAGGUCCUUCCCAAGAACUCAACACAGGAAAGCUGGCCUCUGCCCCCAGAAGCUUCCAGGCGAAGGAGAACAGUCAAGGAGCCAAAGUCCUAGGUGCUCAGCUGGAGGGUGAUUUCCACUCACACCAAUCUUUCAAAACUCUGGGACUUGGGACCGAGCAGCAGCAUUAUGUCAUUUCCAGGCAAAGCCCUAAGUUCUGUCUUCGCUUCAUGUGGUCUCUUUUCGCAUUUUGCACUUCGUCAUUUGCUGCUUCAUCUGACCUAACUCAGCAGGGUCUGAAACCAAAGCCCCUCAAGGACAGGAGAUCUACCUCUGGGCUUGGAAUCAAGAGGACCAGUCCUUUUGGGAGGCCUCCCUGCUACCUUUGGGGCCUUGGGCAAGUCCCUGAAAGUUUCCGGGUGUCAGCCACCUAGUUGGACUCUGGGGAGAGGAAUGCCUACCAUUUGCUUCUGGCUCUGGGAUUUUAAAAGGAAAAGCAGCAGAGUCUUUGGAAACACCAAUCUCUGAAGACCCGGGGUGAACAUUAGUUACAACACCCUAGCUUCAAGGUGAUGUAAACUUCAUGUACGGAGGUUACACUCAGAGGAAUAAAGGAGCAUUCGUCAAACACGAGCCCCCCUCAAUUGGGGUCUAGGGUGGAGAUGGAUUAUUCAAAUGUCUGUGGGCCCAGGCAG